rnacentral:rRNA from 1 species
GAUGAACGCUAGCGACAGGCCUAACACAUGCAAGUCGAGGGGCAGCACGGUGUAGCAAUACACGGGUGGCGACCGGCGCACGGGUGAGUAACGCGUAUGCAACCUACCUACUACAAGGGGAUAACCCGUUGAAAGACGGACUAAUACCCUAUAACACAGGGGAUCCGCAUGGAUAUAUUUGUUAAAGAUUAAUCGGUAGUAGAUGGGCAUGCGUUCCAUUAGCUUGUUGGUGAGGUAACGGCUCACCAAGGCAACGAUGGAUAGGGGAACUGAGAGGUUGAUCCCCCACACUGGAACUGAGACACGGCCCAGACUCCUACGGGAGGCAGCAGUGAGGAAUAUUGGUCAAUGGACGAGAGUCUGAACCAGCCAAGUCGCGUGAAGGAAGACGGCCCUACGGGUUGUAAACUUCUUUUGUAAGGGAAUAAAAAGUCUUACGGGAUAAGACGUUGCAGGUACCUUACGAAUAAGGAUCGGCUAACUCCGUGCCAGCAGCCGCGGUAAUACGGAGGAUCCGAGCGUUAUCCGGAUUUAUUGGGUUUAAAGGGUGCGCAGGCGGCAUGUUAAGUCGGCGGUGAAAUUUUGCAGCUCAACUGUAAAAGAGCCUUCGAAACUGGCAAGCUUGAGUGUGGAUGAAGUAGGCGGAAUUUGUGGUGUAGCGGUGAAAUGCAUAGAUAUCACAAAGAACACCGAUUGCGCAGGCAGCUUACUAAACCAUAACUGACGCUCAUGCACGAAGGCGUGGGGAUCAAACAGGAUUAGAUACCCUGGUAGUCCACGCAGUAAACGAUGAUUACUGGCUGUUUGCGAUACAAUGUAAGCGGCUGAGCGAAAGCGUUAAGUAAUCCACCUGGGGAGUACGUUCGCAAGAAUGAACUCAA